rnacentral:rRNA from 1 species
UACGGGGGGGGCAAGCGUUGUUCGGAAUUACUGGGCGUAAAGGGCGCGUAGGCGGUCAGCACAAGUCAGUUGUGAAAUCUCCGAGCUUAACUCGGAAAGGUCAACUGAUACUGUGCGACUAGAGUGCAGAAGGGGCAACUGGAAUUCUCGGUGUAGCGGUGAAAUGCGUAGAUAUCGAGAGGAACACCUGCGGCGAAGGCGGGUUGCUGGGCUGACACUGACGCUGAGGCGCGAGAGCUAGGGGAGCGAACGGG